GAUGAACGCUGGCGGCGUGCUUAACACAUGCAAGUCGAGCGAAGCACUUAAGUUUGAUUCUUCGGAUGAGGACUUUUGUGACUGAGCGGCGGACGGGUGAGUAACGCGUGGGUAACCUGCCUCAUACAGGGGGAUAACAGUUAGAACUGGCUGCUAAUACCGCAUAAGACCACAGUACUGCAUGGUACAGUGGUAAAAACUCCGGUGGUAUGAGAUGGACCCGCGUCUGAUUAGGUAGUUGGUGAGGUAACGGCACACCAAGCCGACGAUCAGUAGCCGACCUGAGAGGGUGACCGGCCACAUUGGGACUGAGACACGGCCCAGACUCCUACGGGAGGCAGCAGUGGGGAAUAUUGCACAAUGGGCGAAAGCCUGAUGCAGCGACGCCGCGUGAAGGAUGAAGUAUUUCGGUAUGUAAACUUCUAUCAGCAGGGAAGAAAAUGACGGUACCUGACUAAGAAGCCCCGGCUAACUACGUGCCAGCAGCCGCCGUAA
rnacentral:rRNA from 1 species